ACGAUAAUGACAUUGGGGUUGUAAAACGAGACAUAAUUUUUAUUUUUCAGGUAAAACUCAUCAACGCCUUGAAACAAACAGCUUCCAACCAAAGGAGUCAUUUGAUACUUACCUGUAUAAGGCAAACCUUAGGUCUUCUAAAGGCAAUGGUGAAAGAAAAGAAAAGAGCAGAUAAAAAAGGGGAUAAGUUGGCCUGUUCUCCCUCGUCUCUCUCCGAUUAUACAGAGUUUUCCAAACAAGAUGGCAACGCUGCUAGGCAAGAUAUGUCCCCAGGUGCUGUGCCACCGUUGGACAUGCAGCUCAAAGAACCAGGACUCACAGAGUGCAAAAAUGAUAAUCUGCAGAAUGAAGAUACCACCCAGUAUGAAGAGCCCGUUCUGACCAAACUCCUAGUAGAAAGCUAUGAAGGGGAAAAAGUCCGUGGACUGUACGAGGGAGAAGGCUUUGCCAUCUUUCAAGGAGGCUGUACCUACCACGGUGCGUUUUCAGAAGGACUCAUGCAUGGACGGGGGACUUACGUCUGGGCUGACGGAUUGAAAUAUGAGGGGGACUUUGUGAAAAACGUCGCCGUGAACCAUGGCGUCUACACGUGGCCGGACGGCAGCACCUACGAAGGGGAAGUGGUCAACGGCCUGAGACACGGAUUCGGCAUGUUCAAGUGCAGCACGCAGCCCGUGUCCUACGUCGGCCACUGGUGCCACGGCAAGAGACACGGCAAGGGCUCCAUUUAUUACAAUCAAGAGGGCACCUCUUGGUACGAGGGAGACUGGGUGCACAACGUCAAAAAGGGCUGGGGGAUAAGGUGUUACAAAUCCGGAAAUAUAUAUGAGGGUCAGUGGGGGAACAAUAUGCGUCAUGGGGAAGGCAGGAUGAGGUGGCUGACAGCCAAUGAAGAGUUCACCGGUCAGUGGGAGAACGGGGUCCAGAACGGUUUUGGCACACACACAUGGUUUCUAAAGAGAAUCCCCUACUCCCAGUAUCCUUUGAGAAAUGAGUAUGUAGGAGAGUUUGUGAAUGGAUACCGUCAUGGCCGUGGAAAGUUCUACUAUGCCAGUGGAGCCAUGUAUGAGGGAGAAUGGGUUGCCAAUAAAAAACAUGGCAUGGGCCAGUUAACUUUUAAGAAUGGGCGUGUGUAUGAUGGCCCAUUUUCCGAUGACCACAUAGCAGAGUUUCCAAAUCUUGAAGGCGAACUGAUGAGCCACCUGGACACGGCUCCAGAAUCUGCCCUCAGGAGCCAGGAUUGCAGACCCUCCGUCAGUGCCGAAAUCACCAGAAAGCUUGAUGGCAGUGAAAGUAAUUCCAUGUUAGGCUCGAGCAUCGAGCUGGAUCUCAGUUUGUUGCUGAAAAUGUACCCGGAGAGAGACCAAUCAGAAGAAAAGAAGCAGGUAGAAUAUGCUAUCUUAAGAAAUAUUACAGAAUUAAGAAGAAUCUAUAGCUUUUACAGCAGCCUAGGAUGUGAUCACUCUCUGGAUAACACCUUUCAGAUGACAAAGCUUCACUUCUGGAGGUUCCUAAAAGAUUGCAAAUUCCAUCAUCAUAAGAUAACCCUCGCCGAUAUGGACAGGGUACUAAGUGCCAAUAAGGACAUACCAGUUGAAGAAAUUCAUUCUCCAUUUACAACAAUACUUUUGAGAACAUUUUUGAAUUAUCUCCUGCAGUUGGCUUACCACAUCCAUCACAAAGAAUACCAAGACAGAAGCCCGUCACUCUUUUUGUGUUUUACAAAACUGAUGAAUGAGAACAUUCGCCCAAAUGCCUGCCGUGUAAAAGGCAAUUUAUUCUGCGAGGCCCACCGGACACUCUAUUCAAUGAAUUACGUGGAUAAGUGCUGGGAGAUCUACACAGUUUACUGCAGACCAAAUGCAGCCCCUCCCCAUGAGCUCACAAUGGACAUGAGACACUUCCUCUGGAUGUUGAAGAGCUUUAAAAUGAUAAAUAAAGAAUUAACAGCAAGCAAAUUUGUGGAGGUCAUAGCAGAGGAUAAUCCCUUCAUGCAUGAUGGAACUGACAGCAACUUUAAACUUGAGCUGGUUUUCCUGGAAUUCUUUGAAGCUCUGUUAAGCUUCGCACUCAUCUCUGUUACUAACCAAUCGACUGAAUUCUAUGUCAAUUUUCCAAAUGAUGCCUUGUCUGGAAACAAAGCUGGAAGCACUUAUACAAUGAUAAAUCAGAACACCCAGAACAGGAGUCCAAGUGCGCUAAGAAGCCAGGAGUCUGAGGUGCAGUAUGGCAGCACUAAGUCGUCUUCAAGCAAGUUAGGAGUCUUGCUUGACGUGAGCAAGAUAAGGAAAUCAGAGCCCAAGAUCAAGAAGUCUCUAAGUGAUGGAAAAACUUCCAAAAUGAAUUUUAAAUCUCCAGGAAAGGAGCUAACCUUUCUUUUAUCUCAAAAUGAGAAAAAAGAAAAAUCUGAGGAUGAACAAAAGGAAAAAUUCAAUACAUGGGUCAGUAACAUGUACAUCUUUUUUGUGGACAUCCUCUUCCAAGCAUAUAAACAUGAAGAAACCCUCAAGGAGAAAGUAAAGGAAAACAGGCUACAUAAUGAAGCGAUGGCCCUUCAGAGGAAGAUGGAGAAUGAGGAGCUGGAGGCGAGGUAACUCAAUAAAACCCCUUGGCUCCAUCCCUCCCUCCCGGGCUCUCGGGCAUCUUUCUUUCCUGUCCUCUGUAGCCGCCAGAAGCUUCAGGACCAAACACUUCCAUUAAAAGUCUACAACCUCCGGGCUUCCCUGGUGGCACAGUGGUUAAGAAUCCACCUGCCAAUGCAGGGGACACGGGUUCAAGCCCUGGUCCAGGAAGAUCCCACAUGCCACGGAGCAACUAAGCCCGUGCGCCACAACUACUGAGCCCGUGCUCUAGGGCCUGUGAGCCACAACUACUGAGCCCAUGAGCCACAACUACUGAAGCCCGCGAGCCACAACUACUGAAGCCCGCAAGCCUAGAGCCCGUGCUCCACAACAAGAGAAGCCACUGCAGUGAGAGGCCUGCGCACCACAAUGAAGAGUAGCCCCUGCUUGCUGCAACUAGAGAAAGCCCGCAUGCAGCAACGAAGACCCAACGCAGCCAAAAAAAUAAAAAAUGAAUAAAAUAAUUUAAAAAUAUAUAUUAAAAAAAAAGUCUCCACCUUCCGAAGGGUGGCACGUCCUCAUGUGCGGCUGGGAACCCGCAGCCACCAGUUCUAUCCUGGUUGUCUAAGGCAUCCCCAGGCAUCCACGAGGAGGCAGCGUGACGUAGAUCCAGACUGCCUGGGUUCACAUCCCAGCCUCAUCACUUAUAUCACCUUGGUGACCUUGGGUGUGGUCUGUCCCUGUGUGCCUGUUUCUGCAUCUUUAAGGUGGAGGUGAUACCUCGUAGGACUGUUGUGAGGACCGAGUGAGCUAGUGUUUGUGAAGCAUCGAGAACAAUGCUUGGUGCGUGGCUGAACAGCUUGAGAGAGGAAGAGACCAAAAGGCAAGACUAUGAGGUCUCCAUCACUGUGAUCAAGGAACCAGUGGAUGC